rnacentral:tRNA from 1 species
GCUCGGCGCGGUCGACGGCCACCACGACAUCGCCCGCUUCGGGUGGGAGCUGGUGUCGGUCGCCGACGGCUCGGCCCCGGUCGCCGGGUUC